GACGAACGCUGGCGGCGUGCUUAACACAUGCAAGUCGAGCGGUAAGGCCCUUUCGGGGUACGACGAGCGGCGAACGGGUAGGAGUAACAACGUGGGUGGACCUCGCCCUCCAGCUCUGGGAGUAAGACCCGGGAAACCGUGGGUCGUAAUACUGGAUAUGACUCCAUGACGCAUGUUGUGGGGUGGAAAGCCUUGUGCGGCUGAGGAUGGGCCC
rnacentral:rRNA from 1 species